rnacentral:rRNA from 1 species
UAAUACGAAGGGCCCGAGCGUUGCGCGGAAUUACUGGGCUUAAAGCGUACGUAGGCGGGCGUGCAGGCACUUUGUGAAAUCCCCCGGCUCAACCGGGGAAUAGCUUGGUGAACCGCACGUCUUGAGACAAGUAGGGGCUGUCGGAACGAUAGGUGGAGCGGUGAAAUGCGUUGAUAUCUAUCGGAACGCCGAAGGUGAAGACAGGCAGCUGGGCUUGUUCUGACGCUCAGGUACGAAAGCGUGGGGAGCGAACGGGAUUAGAUACCCCGGUAGUCCACGCCGUAAACGAUGUGCACUAGAUCGAGGAGGUUCUGACACCGUUCUCGGUCGAAGCAAAAGUGUUAAGUGCACCGCCUGGGGAGUACGGUCGCAAGGCUA